UACGAAGGGGGCUAGCGUUGCUCGGAAUUACUGGGCGUAAAGGGCGCGUAGGCGGCACUGUUAGUCAGGCGUGAAAGUCCUGGGCUCAACCUGGGAACUGCGCUUGAUACGGCAGAGCUAGAGGAUGGAAGAGGCUCGCGGAAUUCCCAGUGUAGAGGUGAAAUUCGUAGAUAUUGGGAAGAACACCGGUGGCGAAGGCGGCCACCUGGACGGUAACUGACGCUGAGACGCGAAAGCGUGGGGAGCAAACAGG
rnacentral:rRNA from 1 species